GCAGAACGCGAAGAACCUUACCCAGGUUUGACAUCUUCGGAAGGCUUCCGAAAGGAAACUGUGCCGUAAGGAACCGAAUGACAGGUGAUGCAUGGCCGUCGUCAGCUCGUGUCGUGUAGAUGUUUGGUUAAGUCCAUCAACGAGCGCAACCCUUAUAGUUAGUUGUAUUUUUCUAGCCAGACUGCCCUGGUAACAGGGAGGAAGGGGGGAUGAUGUCAGGUCAGUAUUUCCCUUACAUCUGGGGCUACAAACACGCUACAAUGGCCGGUACAAAGGGCAGCCAAGUCGCGAGACGGAGCAAAUCCCAUCGAAGCCGGUCCCAGUUCGGAUAGCAGGCUGAAACUCGCCUGCUUGAAGCCGGAAUCGCUAGUAAUCGCGGAUCAGCAUGCCGCGGUG
rnacentral:rRNA from 1 species